UUUAUGUAUAUAACAAACAUAUUUAUAUACAAGAUGUUUUUAAUAAGUUAAUUUUUACUUGGUUGGAUGCGACUGGUGCGUGUACUUGCGCCUUUUUUUCCCUUUUUUUAAAAAGGUAAUUUUUGUGAGUUGUAACAACAUGAUAUCACAGAAUACAACAGUUAAACAUAUAUAUUUAAAAAUAUGCAUGUUUUAUGGUAAACUAAAAUUCUUGAAUACAAUUGUAUAUAAUGUCAAAAAUGUAUAAUAAAAAUUGCAGAGGCAGACCAUUUGUGCAAUUGUACACAAGAUCAACAAGGCAAAAGGCUUGUUCAUAGAACAAGUAUAUGAUACUGCGUGGACUAAAGUGAAGAAGGUGAAGACGUGCUGCUUGGAAAAAUCAAUUGCGCGAAAUUCGGUCAAGAUAUCAUGACAUGACUGUUUUUCUGUGAGAAAUAAAUAUCCGUAGUACUUGGGUUGCGGAGUCAAAUCGAUUAAUCGCCCACUUUUCUCUCCCUCGCAAAUUGUGCGAAUAUUAUUUCUAUAGCAUUCUUAUUUCUGUAGCAUUGCAAUAGCAUAGAUAGAAUGUUCUGCAGCAAUUCUAUUAUAGCAUAUUCAUUGUAUCGUAGUUAAUAUUUGAUGUUACUACUAUGAGAUAAUACGUUUAUGAUAACUUGUAAGAAAAAUUGUCUAAUUUUCAUAAAUUAAGGUAAAUUGUUCAAAUUAGGUAAUUUUCCUCGUAAGUAAUGUAUCUUAUGCUUAGAGAGAAAUAUUCUAAAAUAUUCUACGUAUUCUUCCGAAGAAGAUGUAUACAAAUUCCAGUCACUCAUUCUCAAAUGCAGUCGAAUGCUUGAAGAAGAAUGAUCUCUAUAGUUGAACAUUUUCGACUCCAUCGAACAUUACUAUUGGCCAUUGGCUUAUGGCCCUACAACCAAUCAAAAUUUGUUGAAUUACAAUUCUUACUAUUCUUUGCUGUUCCAAACAGUUUUAUUAUAUUUCAGCUAAUAUCGUUUAUAACUUCUGAAUAUACUGUUGAUCUUGUUAUUAAAAUUCUGUCUAUAAUAUUCUUUUUUCUUAUCUGCGAAGUUCACCAUACUUCGUUUUGGAUUAAUGCAUAUACUGUGAAGUGUUUCGUGGAGCGUCUUCAGCAUGUCUCUUGUGAAUUAAAAGAUGAAAACGAAAUCGCUAUAAUAAAAAAAUAUGGAAAGAGCGGAGAACACAUUACAAUUAUACUUACAUUGUUUGCGGUGUGCUGUGUAAUUAUUUUGACUGUUUUGCCAUUUUUGCCGUGGAUUCUUGGCACCUUUCUACUCGUAAAUGAAUCUCGACCACUUCACAAUAUGCUAAUUGUAACUGAAUAUUUUGUUGAUAAAGAAAAAAAUGUUUAUUUAAUUUUGCUGCACACAUGCGCAUCUAUUUACAUAGGAACGACUGCGUUGGUGGGAGGAGGAAUGAUGUUAAUAGCAUACCUAAAACACGUUUGCGGACUGUUUAGCAUUGCAAGUUACCGCAUGGAGCAAACAAUACUGUUAAAUAUUCACGAAGAAGAUAAUCGAAGGAACGAGAUGGAGAUGAACAAGAAGUUACGACAUGCAGUGGAUAUUCAUCGUACAGCUAUUGAGUUGUCUGAAUUCUUUACAUCUAGUUUCAAUAGAACAUAUUUUUGUCUAAUAGCGGUAGGCAUUAUUUGUUUAGCCCUUAAUCUCUAUCAAGUAUUACGAUCUGCAGUGCUUCUAGGUAACAUAGAAGAGAUACAACAUUGAAUGGUAUACGACUCCUAUAUGCAUACAAAGAUUGAUAUUAUUUCUGUUGCAAAGAAGUUGUAAAGCUUAUGGCCUCAAAAUAGCUGGUCUUUUUAUAGCAUCUCUAGAAGGUUUUAACUCGUUAAUUGCUGCAUCGAUAUCUUAUUUUACUGUUAUAUAUUCUACACAGAAGUGAUACGACUAUCAAUCAUCUUCUAUAGUAUAUUGAGGAGAAAGGAAUAAGUUUACAGAUAAGUGAUAGAAACCGUUUCCAAAUAAUUUGUUGCGUAAAUUGAUUAGUGGCUUAAAAUGAUCACUUUCUUAAUAAUAUCUUUUAAUAUAAUAAUAUAGUUGAUAUAAAAUGAUAAACAAUUAGAAUGAGCACCUAAAAAAUUAUGUAGUAGCUUAAAGAAACCGAAAGAAUAUGCUCGUGCAAGCAUACGUGGUUUGUGUUCGCGCGUAUACUUUUAUAUUACGUGUUUCUAUAUUUUUAAAACUUUAAUUUUUAAAUUUACACAUUUUUAAUAUCUUACAAGUUGAGGUCUAGUCGCAGAUUUAUUUAAUUCAGAAGGAUUACUUCUACACGGAAAGAAAAAAGUAGCUGCCAUAGCUAAAAACUGCGUGUGGUAACUAAAUUCAGUCGUAAUAUAUGGACAGCUAAAUUUUAGCUGUGAUACCUAUUUUAUUAGAUAAGGUUCCUAAUUCAUUAGCUGCAAGAGCAAACAUUUUGCUGUAGUUUAAAAAUUUAUAGCUACGGCAGCAACAAUUUUUAGCAAAUCAUGAUUAGCUACGGUAGCAAAAAUUUUUCUUUCUGUGUAUGAUCAAGUUCAAGUACUCACUUCGCGUGGCCAGUCGAAAACACAUGCGAAUCUAUUAAACUUCUUCUUUUCUAACUUUUUAAUAAACAAUGAUCGCCGGUAAAACAUUCUGGUAGGUCACUCAAGAGGAUGACCUCUAUAAUACAUGUCAAGAUCAAGAUCAUCGACACUGUGUCUUCUAAUCUAAAUAAUUACUGCGGAAUCUAUUAAAAAUUUAUAGUUGUUAUAGAAUUAGCAUUCUCACGAAUGUUAUUAAUUAAAUAGGUCAUCAUUAGGAUAUGAUUAUAAAAUUGUAACUAUAUGAUAUCCUAUUUUAACAAUAUGAUAUCACAAAAUGCAACAGUUAAAUAUAUGUAUUUAAAAACAUGAAUGUUUUAUGAUAAAUCAAAAUUCUCGAAUGCAAUUGUAUAUAAUAAAAUUGUACAUAAUAUAACAAAAAUGUAUAAUAAAAAUUGCGGACAGACCAUUUGUACAAUUAUACGCAAGAUCAAGGCUCCUUUUAAGAACAAGUAUACGUUACGAAUGCGUUCGUUAAACUGAAGAACGUCAAGACGUAUUAUUUGGGAAAGUCAAUUGCGCUUGCGCGAACUUCGGUCAAGAUAUCAUGACAUGACUGUUUUUCUAUGAGAA